rnacentral:rRNA from 1 species
GACGAACGCUGGCGGCGUGCUUAACACAUGCAAGUCGAACGGCAAGGCCCUGCUUUCGUGGGGUGAUCGAGUGGCGAACGGGUGCGUAACACGUGUGUAACCUGACCUAGUCUUUGGGAUAACUUCAGGUAACUGGGGCUACUCUAGGAUAGCAGCUCAUGUUGCAUGGUGGGGGUUGGAUCGUCUCGGCCGUUGCGGAUGGACUCGCGGCUUACGAGCUAGUUGGUGGGGUAGUGGCAUACCGAGGCUUGGACGGGUCGCCGGCCUGAGAGGGUGACCGGGGACCAGGGUACUGAGAGACGGCCCAGACUCGUACAGGAGGCAGCAGGGGGGAACAUUGCACAGUGGGCGGGAGUCGGUGACAGCGACGCCGCGUGCGUGAUGACGGCCUGCUGGGAAUGAACCGCAUUCGCCUGUGACGAAGCGGUAGUGACGGUAAUGAAUAAAGAAGCACCGGCUAACUACGUG